rnacentral:rRNA from 1 species
UACGUAGGGGGGCUAGCGUUGUCCGGAAUCAUUGGGCGUAAAGCGCGCGUAGGCGGCCCAGUAAGUCCGUUGUAAAAGUCAAAGGCUCAACCUUUGAAAGCCGAUGGAUACUGCUGGGCUAGAGUCCGGAAGAGGCGAGUGGAAUUCCUGGUGUAGCGGUGGAAUGCGCAGAUAUCAGGAGGAACACCGAUAGCGAAGGCAGCUCGCUGGGACGGUACUGACGCUGAGACGCGAAAGCGUGGGGAGCGAACAGG